CUCAGGAAGGAGAACUGAGAGCCUUUUUCUAAGUGGUGCCUGCUUUGUUUAAGGGGUAAGUUCGCAGCGCUGCGGCAGGGCCUGGCAGCCAGGGACCUUGGCAGAAGCUACAAUAAGAAUGUGGGGCUUUUAAAACUCUGGUCCUCUUGGAUGCCUCCAGUCCAGGCAUAGCUGACUGGGAAGUCAGUACUCUCUCCACACUGCAGUUAAAUGACCGACCUGAGGAUAAUUGGGGUCAUUUGUCACACAAAUGACAAAUGUGAGAGCAAGAAGAGGCUGGAGCAGAAAGUUGGUCAACCUGCAUGCAGAUGAGGUUUCCUGUGACCGCCCCAACCUGCCAAGGACAGUAUGAGCCCAUGGGCAUCACCGGCAGGAUGGACCUCAUGUCCUCCACAGCCAGCACACAAGCGAAUUGUGGCUUCCUGGCCACUGGGCUAGCAUGGGCAACCCCCAGGGACCUCUGUUCCUGUGGGACCUGAAAACUGUAAAUGUGGGCAGGAUAGAUUCUUCUCCUGCUCUUCCACAGCUGCAAAGGCCCCUCCUUGUCACAUAAGCACUUAAUUAACAUAAUGAGCAGCUACUGAGUUGAUUGUUAUCAUCAUCUGCCUCUUUGUUAGAAGUGGAGCCAUGCUGGGGCCCAACCAGGAGCCGGCCAGGCAGACCCAGGCAGGAGAGAACACAUGGAGGUGAGUAACCACUGCAGGCUGGCACUCAAUGAGGCAGGUGUCUCUUCUCUGGCCUAGGGCGGGGCAAAGGAGGAGGUGGCGUGCUUUGCUCAUCCUGCAGAGCAAGGCUCCCUAGCCACCAAUCCCCCACUAGUCAGAUGCAUUCUACUGGGAACACAGCUAAUCGGAUGCUCAGAAAGACCAAGGUUUAUGUUAUAUCUACUCUUUCCACAGUUUACUGUCCAUGAAUGUUCCAAGCUCCACCACUGGAAGUGACUCUCCACAGAGUUCAGUAAGAGAGAGAGAGACACCAUAGAAAUCUGAAGAUGGCUUUGCCCUUCGACUCUGCAAUCUGCUCGCUACUCUCAGAGUUAGUAGAAGAGCCGAUCUAUCAAUCAACAAAUGCUGUCAAUCAGGAGAAUGCUUUAAGCUCUGCCUGUGGAGUGGGAAGAAGAGAUCUAAAGACUAUAAGCUGGCCUGGUGCAGUGGUUCACGCCUGUAAUCCCAGCACUUUGGGAGGCCAAGGUGGGAGGAACACUUAACGCCAGGACUUCGAGUCUAUCCUAAGCAGUAUAAUGAUACUCCCAUCUCUACAAAAAAAUUAAAAAGCCAGGCAUGGUGGUCUGCAUCUCUAGACCUAGUUACUCCACAGCCAUUUUGCCAAAGCAAGAGCAUGC
rnacentral:lncRNA from 1 species